rnacentral:rRNA from 1 species
GACGAAGGUGGCGAGCGUUACUCGGAAUUACUAGGCGUAAAGCGUGGGUAGGCGGUCCGGCAAGUCUGUUGUGAAAGCUCCCGGCUCAACUGGGAGAGGUCAAUGGAUACUACCGGACUUGAAUGUGGGAGAGGUCACUGGAAUUCCCGGUGUAGCGGUGAAAUGCGUAGAGAUCGGGAGGAACACCGAUGGCGAAAGCAGGUGACUGGACCACUAUUGACGCUGAGCCACGAAAGCUAGGGGAGCAAACAGG